rnacentral:rRNA from 1 species
AUUGAACGCUGGCGGCAGGCCUAACACAUGCAAGUCGAGCGAGCGGCGGACGGGUGAGUAAUGUCUGGGAAACUGCCUGAUGGAGGGGGAUAACUACUGGAAACGGUAGCUAAUACCGCAUACCAUCAGAUGUGCCCAGAUGGGAUUAGCUAGUGGGUGGGGUAACGGCUCACCUAGGCGACGAUCCCUAGCUGGUCUGAGAGGAUGACCAGCCACACUGGAACUGAGACACGGUCCGGAAUCAUACGGGAGGCAGAAGUGGGGAAUAUUGCACAAGGGGCGAAAGCCUGAUGCAGCCAAGCCGGGUGUUUGAGGAAGGCCUUCGGGUUGAAAAGAACGUUCAGCGGGGAGGCGCUACCCGCAGAAGAAGCACCGGCUAACUCCGUGCCAGCAGCCGCGGUAAUAC